UAAUACGUAGGGUGCGAGCGUUGUCCGGAAUUAUUGGGCGUAAAGAGCUCGUAGGCGGUGUGUCGCGUCGGCCGUGAAAACUUGGGGCUUAACUCUGAGCGUGCGGUCGAUACGGGCAUCACUUGAGUUCGGCAGGGGAGACUGGAAUUCCUGGUGUAGCGGUGAAAUGCGCAGAUAUCAGGAGGAACACCGGUGGCGAAGGCGGGUCUCUGGGCCGAUACUGACGCUGAGGAGCGAAAGCGUGGGGAGCGAACAGGAUUAGAUACCCUGGUAGUCCACGCCGUAAACGUUGGGCGCUAGGUGUGGGGACCAUUCCACGGUUUCUGCGCCGCAGCUAACGCAUUAAGCGCCCCGCCUGGGGAGUACGGCCGCAAGGCUAAAACUCAAAGGAAUUGACGG
rnacentral:rRNA from 1 species